rnacentral:rRNA from 1 species
GACGAACGCUGGCGGCGUGCUUAACACAUGCAAGUCGAACGGAAAGGCCCUGCUUUUGUGGGGUGCUCGAGUGGCGAACGGGUGAGUAACACGUGAGUAACCUGCCCUUGACUUUGGGAUAACUUCAGGAAACUGGGGCUAAUACCGGAUAGGAGCUCCUGCUGCAUGGUGGGGGUUGGAAAGUUUCGGCGGUUGGGGAUGGACUCGCGGCUUAUCAGCUUGUUGGUGGGGUAGUGGCUUACCAAGGCUUUGACGGGUAGCCGGCCUGAGAGGGUGACCGGCCACAUUGGGACUGAGAUACGGCCCAGACGCGUACGGGAGGCAGCAGUGGGGAAUAUUGCACAAUGGGGGGAAGCCUGAUGCAGCAACGCCGCGUGCGGGAUGACGGCCUUCGGGUUGUAAACCGCUUUCGCCUGUGACGAAGCGUGAGUGACGGUAAUGGGUAAAGAAGCACCGGCUAACUACGUG